CAAUAGCGUAUAUUAAAGUUGUUGCAGUUAAAAAGCUCGUAGUUGGAUUUCUGUUCUCGGGGAUUGGUCCGCCUCACGGUGAGCACUGGUAUCCUGGGGACAUCCUCUCGAAGGCGGGUGGUGCACUUAAUUGUGUGCUGCUUGGAUUCGGGACCUUUACUUUGAAAAAAUUAGAGUGUUCAAAGCAGGCGUCGGCUUGAAUACAUUAGCAUGGAAUAAUGGAAUAGGACUUUGGUUCUAUUUUGUUGGUUUCUAGGACCGAAGUAAUGAUUAAUAGGGACAGUUGGGGGCAUUAGUAUUUAAUUGUCAGAGGUGAAAUUCUUGGAUUGCCGUACGACGAACUACUGCGAAAGCAUUUGCCAAGGAUGUUUUCAUUGAUCAAGAACGAAAGUAAGGGGAUCGAAGACGAUCAGAUACCGU
rnacentral:rRNA from 1 species